GGUGGCUCAGUGGCAGAGCGCUUGCCUUGCAUGCAUGAGACCCUGGGUUCGAUUCCUCAGCACCA
rfam:Dipodomys ordii contig_13650, whole genome shotgun sequence.